rnacentral:rRNA from 1 species
UACCACAGCCAUAUCACCCUGCAGCCCAAGACUGGUUACUCACUGAAGCUAAGCAGGGCUGAGCCUGGUUAGUACCUGGAUGGGAGACCACUAUGGGAACACUAGGUUGCUGUUGGAA